rnacentral:rRNA from 1 species
AAUACAUGCAAGUCGAGCGAAUGGAUUAAGAGCUUGCUCUUAUGAAGGUUAGCGGCGCGACGGGUGAGUAACACGUGGGUAACCUGCCCAUAAGACUGGGAUAACUCCGGGAAACCGGGGCUAAUACCGGAUAACAUUUUGAACUGCAUGGUUCGAAAUUGAAAGGCGGCUUCGGCUGUCACUUAUGGAUGGACCCGCGUCGCAUUAGCUAGUUGGUGAGGUAACGGCUCACCAAGGCAACGAUGCGUAGCCGACCUGAGAGGGUGAUCGGCCACACUGGGACUGAGACACGGCCCAGACUCCUACGGGAGGCAGCAGUAGGGAAUCUUCCGCAAUGGACGAAAGUCUGACGGAGCAACGCCGCGUGAGUGAUGAAGGCUUUCGGGUCGUAAAACUCUGUUGUUAGGGAAGAACAAGUGCUAGUUGAAUAAGCUGGCACCUUGACGGUACCUAACCAGAAAGCCACGGCUAACUACGUGCCAGCAGCCGCGGUAAUACGUAGGUGGCAAGCGUUAUCCGGAAUUAUUGGGCGUAAAGCGCGCGCAGGUGGUUUCUUAAGUCUGAUGUGAAAGCCCACGGCUCAACCGUGGAGGGUCAUUGGAAACUGGGAGACUUGAGUGCCAGAAGAGGAAAGUGGAAUUUCCAUGUGGUAGCCGCGUGCAAAUUGCGCUAGAAGCAUAUUGGGAGGGGAAACACCCAGUGGGCGAAAGGGCGACCUUUCUGGUCUGUAACUGACACUGAGGCGC